AAUUGGAGGGCAAGUCUGGUGCCAGCAGCCGCGGUAAUUCCAGCUCCAAUAGCGUAUAUUAAAGUUGUUGCAGUUAAAAAGCUCGUAGUUGAAUUUCGGGAUCAAUAUUUCGGUCAUGCCGUUGGUAUGCACUGUUAUCAUUGAUUUCUCACCUUCUAAAGAACCGUAAUGCCAUUAAUUUGGUGUUACGGGGAAUUAGGACUGUUACCUUGAAAAAAUUAGAGUGUUUAAAGCAGGCUCACGCUUGAAUACAUUAGCAUGGAAUAAUGAAAUAGGACAUCCGAUUCUAUUUUGUUGGUUUCUAGGAUCGAUGUAAUGAUUAAUAGGGAUAGUUGGGGGCAUUAGUAUUCAAUUGUCAGAGGUGAAAUUCUUGGAUUUAUUGAAGACUAACUACUGCGAAAGCAUUUGCCAAGGAUGUUUUCAUUAAUCAAGAACGAAAGUUAGGGGAUCGAAGACGAUCAGAUACCGUCGUAGUCUUAACCAUAAACUUUGCCGACUAGGGAUCGGAUGAUGUUAAUUUUUUAAUGACUCAUUCGGCGCCUUACGGGAAACCAAAGUGU
rnacentral:rRNA from 1 species